AGUGAACGCUGGCGGUAGGCCUAACACAUGCAAGUCGAACGGCAGCACAGUAAGAGCUUGCUCUUACGGGUGGCGAGUGGCGGACGGGUGAGGAAUACAUCGGAAUCUACUUUUUCGUGGGUGAUAACGUAGGGAAACUUACGCUAAUACCGCAUACGACCUACGGGUUAAAGCAGUGGAUCUUCGGACCUUUCGCGAUUGAAUGAGCCGAUGUCGGAUUAGCUAGUUGGCGGGGUAAAGGCCCACCAAGGCGACGAUCCGUAGCUGGUCUGAGAGGAUGAUCAGCCACACUGGAACUGAGACACGGUCCAGACUCCUACGGGAGGCAGCAGUGGGGAAUAUUGGACAAUGGGCGCAAGCCUGAUCCAGCCAUACCGCGUGGGUGAAGAAGGCCUUCGGGUUGUAAAGCCCUUUUGUUGGGAAAGAAAAGAAGCAGGUUAAUACCCCGCUGUUCUGACGGUACCCAAAGAAUAAGCACCGGCUAACUUCGUG
rnacentral:rRNA from 1 species